CCACAAUCUUCCGACCAAGAAGACUAUUACCCACCACGUACUUUGGACAUGGUAGAUGAGCGACACGAAGACAGCCCACCGUCUGAGGAAAUGGAACGGCAAGACCUUCCCCACACUUCCUCGAAGUACGUUAGGGAAACCUUACUCUGGGACGGUGGCUGAGACAGAGAUAACUGUAACGGCACUAAACCAGAGUAGCCGAAGACGGAACGUUCCUGGACGAACACUAUUGGCUGCGCAACCCUCGGGGGAUGGAAGGAUGCGCACGCCUCAAGACCGAGUUACCCCAGGGUACACAACUCAACCCUACCACCUCCAAAGAACGGUCUUAAUGCUCGAUAUGCCUCCUGGGCAACGUAAACGACGCACUAUGCGCCGACAGACGCAAAUCUGUACUUGGCCGCAUCGACAACACACUAUUGGACUUAGGAACUACAAGAAUUCGGCCCAAAGCACAAGGCCUACUAUUCGACGUAGUGUUCAUUGCAGUAUUCAAGAAACACGUGAAUUUAUUCACCACACUAAAUUAAACCCAGACCUCGCUAAAACAAGUCUUCCACAACCCUACGGGGAAAGGUGUUUCUGGGAGGACUGGUCGGUAACUGAACCGAGCCACCAGCCGCUUCUGGGCGACAGGUUCCAGAUCGUAUACACGGUCCUCAUAUUUCUCCCAUCUAAUACACAAAGGAACCCAUCCGCUUCAUCUACUAGUGUGUCAACCUACAUAACUAACUGUUUCCAAUAUUAUGACCGGCAACCGGUCUCUGUUUUACAGAAUUGGGAGACGACUACCAAAGUCACCUGGGUUCUCCAGACAGUACAAGGCUAUGUCAUAGAGUUUUAUCACAGCCGUGCAGGUCGCCCCUUCAC